rnacentral:rRNA from 2 species
ACGAAAAAUAACGAUACGGGACUCAUCCGAGGCCCCGUAAUCGGAAUGAGUACACUCUAAACCCUUUAACGAGGAUCAAUUGGAGGGCAAGUCUGGUGCCAGCAGCCGCGGUAAUUCCAGCUCCAAUAGCGUAUAUUAAAGUUGUUGCGGUUAAAAAGCUCGUAGUCGAAUUUGUGUCCCGCGCCGCCGGUUCAUCGCUCGCGGUGUCAACUGGCGUGUCCGCGGGACGUCCUGCCGGUGGGCUCAGCCCCCCGUGGGCGGCCCAAUCUCAAUCCCACCGCGGUGCUCUUCACUGAGUGUCGAGGUGGGCCGGCACGUUUACUUUGAACAAAUUAGAGUGCUUAAAGCAGGCUAAAACAUCGCCUGAAUACUGUGUGCAUGGAAUAAUGGAAUAGGACCUCGGUUCUAUUUUGUUGGUUUUCGGAACCCCGAGGUAAUGAUUAAUAGGAACGGAUGGGGGCAUUCGUAUUGCGACGUUAGAGGUGAAAUUCUUGGAUCGUCGCAAGACGGACAGAAGCGAAAGCAUUUGCCAAAAACGCUUUCAUUGAUCAAGAACGAAAGUUAGAGGUUCGAAGGCGAUCAGAUACCGCCCUAGUUCUAACCAUAAACGAUGCCAGCUAGCGAUCCGCCGACGUUCCUCCGAUGACUCGGCGGGCAGCUUCCGGGAAACCAAAGCUUUUGGGUUCCGGGGGAAGUAUGGUUGCAAAGCUGAAACUUAAAGGAAUUGACGGAAGGGCACCACCAGGAGUGGAGCCUGCGGCUUAAUUUGACUCAACACGGGAAACCUCACCAGGCCCGGACACCGGAAGGAUUGACAGAUUGAGAGC